CAGUGUUUCCAGGCUGCUCGGGCCACGUUGUUCCUGCACACUGUGUGGGUGAGGGAGGCAGUUCCACUUCAGAAGGAGCCAGAUGUACCCACAGCACAAAGAACAAGGGCUGGAGCUGUGGAAGCUGAAUUUUCUAUGUUGGAAGGAAGGAGGCAGAUGCUUCUCCCAUGCUGGCUUUGCUUUGCCAGCCCCAUGAUGAAUGGAAUCCUUCCCCAUCCCUGGGUGGCCUCCUCUUCUCGCCUUCCAGGUCUCCACACAGCAACCCUUCCCUCAGCAUCCAAUAAAGACCUCGGCACAGAGUCCACAUGGUUGAUUCGAGAACUAAAAUAAGAACGAACAUGCCCAUCUCUCCCAGGAGCUACAAAGGAGCCAGAGCAGAGCUGAAGUUCACAGCCGAUGCCAGGGAAACAACACAGGCUUUCAGAAGAAGCAGGCACCGCUCCAUUUGACUGUCGAAUGGUGAAACCUUCCUCGGCUUCAACAAAUCCAGAGCCAUCAGUGAACACGCCCAGAGUGUGCCUGGCAAAUUAGCCCAACACACUGCCCUCGGCAUUACGUUUCUCUCCUACUGGUGUUUGUUUUCAGACAUGGGACUAACGAGAGACAGCUGCUCCCUUCCCUGAAAGUCCCCCAUAAACGCUCCACCCUUCACUUGUUGCUCUACCAUCUUAAAAUGUGAGAAUUACAGGUGUCCAGUAAUUUAUAGCCUGCUUCUCGUGCCACAGGCCGCCAGCUUCCCCCUGGAAGUGCAGUUUACAGUAUUUGCUAGAGGAAGUCAACCAAGGCCCCAGAAGACACGAUCCUGCAGAUACCUCGUGAAAAUACUCAUUUUUCAAGGCUUUCCUGGGCAUCCACUAUGUGUCAGGUUCUGUGCUGGGAAGACAGCAGCAAACUACACACAGUUCUUUCCCUUGGCUAAGGGAGAAGCAAGCAGUCUUAGCAGGUACAUUGAGAUACACAGGGGAAUAGAGAAAAACGGGAACAAACCUGUCUAUGGGUUUUGUUUUUGGUGUGUGUGUGUGUGUGUGUGUGUGUGUGUGUGUGUGUGUGUGUGUGUGUGUGUGUGAUGCUGGUUGGGGUCAUCAGGAAAGACUCCAAGCCAAAAUAAAUCAUCCUAUUCCUCCUCCUUUCUCUCUUUUCACACACACAUCUCUCCCUCUUUCACACACACACACACACACACACACACACACACACACACACACACACACAUGGAGAGAGAGAAGGAGAGGGAGAGGGAGAAGGAGAGGGAGACUCAGAAUCUGAACAGCCAUGUGGCCCAAGAAUUCCUACCCUCAGCUACUACAUCACAGGGCCACUCCAUCAAGGAUGGCAAAGGCUCCACCAGAGAGCAGGCAGUUAGAGUUUCUGACGGGGUCUUCUCAGUGUUGAGAAAUUUCCCUGAAAGCACUUCUUGAAGUCUUCAGCUAGAAAAACAGCAGCCCAAAGCAUGCCUUGUUAUAGGGCCUGAAACUCCCAGGACAGGAACAGAAUGAUAAGCUACCAGAGGUCACUUUGAGUUCCCAGGGCACAACGGGUAGUACUUUUACCCCCUUUCCUCAGCUCCUUAUCUCCCAUCCCACACAACUCAUGCCCAUGCCUGUCUUGGUCGUAUGUCCUCAGCAUGUAGACUCAGGUUAGACUUUAUCUAUGUAGACCACCUGAGAUGGCUCCUAUUCCAUUCUUCUACCUUCUGGGAGGUGCCAGACUUGUGGGGGAGGAGGCCUGAGUCUUACUCAGGCAGGUUUUUCUGAUAGCAGGUAGGCCCAGGAUCAGAGAGGAAGGUUCCCCGUGGCUUCCGUGUAAUGAUUUUGGUGGUAUACUAAGUUAGAAUUUGAACUUGCUGAUGUCAAGGAAGAGAGUGCUCUUUACAGUUCCCUCCUCAUUUAAAAAUAUAAGGAUGAAAGCCAUUGCUAAGUCAGGUCUGCUGUGAUAUCGGAAGGCAACCCUGGCCGUCAGAAGGCAAUCCAAACUGCUUAGUAAACCAAUAAUCGACCAACACAAAAUUGCAUCGAAGAGGUUGUGUGUUGUACAACUUAGAGCUUGUACUUAAAUGUAAUCUUGAACUUCAGUCUAACUCUAGAGCUUGCUCACCAGUGUUCGGCCAAAAUCCAACUGACCACAAGGGUUGCUGCCUGUAUUCUUUGGCUUUUAUGCACCAUGCUUGAGGUUCAGGAGGGAGCUUUGUAUAAGUGUAUGUUAGCAGCACUCCCUGCUUACAGAGGCAGGGAGUCUCAGAUGAGAUGGUCGGAAGGCCAGCUGAAACUCUCGCCAUUUCCCAGCAUGGGAUGUGUUAGAGAGGGAUAAGUCAGAAUUACUCUAUACUCAGUCCGACAGCAAAAAUCAACAGAGUCAAGACUGAAGCUAAGGGUGGAAUCUCAGGCAAGAGAUAACCAGAACAGCCAAUCAGAGACCUAGAAUGACCCGCAUCAAGCCAACACCUGUUGCAACCGUGGCAACUCUGCCAUCCCAGGAAAAGCUUUGUCAGAGACAAAAAUCCGGAAGAGCGAUCCUUCUGAGAGUACUACUCACGAAUGCACACCAACCUUCUCUGCACUGGUAGAAAAGCCAGAGCCCACCUAAGGGGCGUUUACACAGCAAAGGUUGGACAGGCUUGCACCAUGCCGGGUCCUGGCACCAGAGCUCUUCGGAGACAGA